AUUGAACGCUGGCGGCAGGCCUAACACAUGCAAGUCGAGCGGAGCGGCGGACGGGUGGGUAAUGCCUAGGUAUCUGCCUGGUCGUGGGGGAUAACGUCAGGAAACGGGCGCUAAUACCGCAUCCUAUCACAUGAGCCUAGGUCGGAUUAGCGAGUUGGUGGGGGAAGGGCAUACCAAGGCGACGAUCCGUAACUGGUCUGAGAGGAUGAUCAGUCACACUGGAACUGAGACACGGUCCAGACUCCUACGGGAGGCAGCAGUGGGGAAUAUUGCACAAUGGGCGAAAGCCUGAUCCAGCCAUGCCGCGUGUGUGAAGAAGGUCUUCGGAUUGUAAAGCACUUUAAGUUGGGAGGCGUUACCAACAGAAUAAGCACCGGCUAACUUCGUGCCAGCCGCCGCGGUAAUAC
rnacentral:rRNA from 1 species